GUCUACGGCUAUGCCACCAUGAAUAUGCCCGAUCUCAUCUGAUCUCAGAAGCUAAGCAGGGAGGGGCCUGGUUAGUACUUGGACGGGAGACCACCUCAGAAUACUAGGUACUGUAGGCA
ensembl:rRNA 5S_rRNA 5S ribosomal RNA